GCUCCCUUAAUUUUAUUGAUGUUAAACUUUCUAUCAGGGUUUUACACGUAAUGGACUCUCUUUUUUUGACCCAACACUUGAUAAUCCAUGUUCUUUUCUUUUUACACUUACUUCAUAUUUUCAUUCAUUCAACAGUUUUAUUUUCUUCUUCUUCUUCUCAUUUAUUUCUUCUUUAAACUCUAUUUUUGAUUUCAAAUUCUUGCUCAUUCGGUUUUUAUUUCUUCUUUUUGAAAACUAUCCAUUUCGUGGGUUGUUCUCUUUAAUACUCGGUGCAAUUUGUUUUUUGAAAUCAUUCGUGCUAAACUAUUACUGUGCUGUUUCGAUUUUUUUUCCCUAUUAAAUGGUACAAAUCUGAAGCGGUAGGCUAUCAAAUCAAAAAUGACUAAGAAAAAAACGGAUUGAAAAUUAAAGAAGAAAUCCAUGCUUCAAAGAAACAUAAAACGGGUUUAGGUGCUACUGCAAGUGGUUUGAAUAAAACAUCUUCUGGUAAAUCUGUAAAAAAAACCUGUACAAGUUAGCAAAAUUGAGACUAGUGUGAGACAACGUCUUCGGUUACUGAUGAAAAAAAGCUUUUAUUGAACUUGGGAGCUACUGCACUAACUACCGGUUCAAUUGAUGAUGAAGGACCAUCGAAAAGGAAUUUUAUCGAUCAAAAUUUGAUUGCUUUGCGUCAAGAUUUGCAAUCAAUUUAUAAUUGUUGUAUAUUGUUUGUCUUUUUUAUGUAUGCUUUAUUGCUUAAUUUUUUCGAAUUCUUUUUAAAAUUUGUCUUUAUGUUAUUUUACAAAUGACAGAAAUUAUAAAACUAUAUAAGUAGAAUCAGGGAACCAUA